AAAGGGAGACCUAAUUCGGGUAUAAGACGAAAAAAUAGUAGUCGAAACCAAGAAUCAAUCCCAAAAGGUCGGUACGAGGUAUGUGGCUUUCAAACUAGGUUCUGGGUUCAUAAAAGACCUGAAUCAGGAACAAGGGCUAUUAGCUCAGGUGGUUAGAGCGCACCCCUGAUAAGGGUGAGGUCCCUGGUUCGAGUCCAGGAUGGCCCACCUGCACAGGUGGCAAAAACAAGAGAAGCGAGGAAUCAGCACCUUAUCCUAAUUUAUAUAUAGGAGAGAAUGCUGGCUCUGAGUAAAGAGUCCAGAGGAACCUUGAAAACUGCAUAGAGCUAGGUGAAAAAGCCAAAAAAGAAGACCGCAAG
rnacentral:tRNA from 1 species